CGUAGGGUGCGAGCGUUAAUCGGAAUUACUGGGCGUAAAGCGUGCGCAGGCGGUUUUUUAAGACAGGCGUGAAAUCCCCGGGCUCAACCUGGGAACUGCGCUUGUGACUGGAAGGCUAGAGUACGGCAGAGGGGGUGGAAUUCCACGUGUAGCAGUGAAAUGCGUAGAGAUGUGGAGGAACACCAAUGGCGAAGGCAGCCCCCUGGGUCGAUACUGACGCUCAUGCACGAAAGCGUGGGUAGCAAACAGGAUUAGAUACCCUGGUAGUCCACGCCCUAAACGAUGUCAACUAGGUGUUGGGAGGGUAAAACCUUUUAGUACCGGAGCUAACGCGUGAAGUUGACCGCCUGGGGAGUACGGCCGCAAGGUUA
rnacentral:rRNA from 1 species